UCAUUGCUGUAGUAUCAUCAUGAGAGUAACACAUGGUGUACUGAGGAGUAUUGAUGUGGUGGCGAUAACUGGUUGGUGCUUGCUUAGAGCACAAUUAUAAGUUUGAUAUAAAGGCUACCAGAUGAACAGGUAUCUCAGCUUCUAAACAUUGUGGGUUGACAUUCCAACUGUAGUAUAUAAAUAUUGACAUGAAGAGUUACUUUCUCUUGUUUGUCAUUGGCGCAACCCUGUUGAUGGGACCACACAUUAACUGCAUAGUGCAACUGGAAUGCAAGGACGAGCAAGGCGAUGUGUAUCCACUUGGUAAAGAGCUUUUUAGUCCGGACCCUCCAUACUGCUUGAGAUGCGAAUGCCAAUACAUAUCGGACUUACGUGAUUACGAUUGUGCAUUUGAAUCUUGCUUUUACCCAUGCCCUUUGUUAAUGGAGCCCAGCCACUGGUAGAAAUUUUUAACCUCUCUUGACUACGCUUUUGGAAUUAGGCGUGGGAGUGAUUUGCUUUGAACAAGUCUCUCAUCAUACCAACAAAAUAAAAGAUUAUUGUUUCAUUUCAAAUGUU